rnacentral:tRNA from 1 species
GGAAGGCUAGGCUAACUGGUAAGCCAACAGUCUCGAAAACUGUCGCGCGCUCCUCGGGCGUUUGUGGGUUCGAAUCCCACGCCUUCCU